rnacentral:rRNA from 1 species
GACGAACGCUGGCGGCGUGCUUAACACAUGCAAGUCGAACGGAAAGGCCCUGCUGUUGUGGGGUGCUCGAGUGGCGAACGGGUGUGUAACACGUGAGUAACCUGCCCUUGACUGUGGGAUAACUUCAGGAAACUGGGGCUAAUCCCGGAUAGGAGCUCCUGCUGCAUGGUGGGGGUUGGAAAGUUUCGGCGGUUGGGGAGGGACUCGCGGGUUAUCAGAUUGUUGGGGGGGUAGUGGAUUACCAAGGCUUUGACGGGUAGCCGGCCUGAGAGGGGGACCGGGCACAUAGGGAGUGUGAUACGGGGCAGAUGCCUCCGGGAGGCAGAAGUGGGGAGUAUUGCACAAUGGGGGGACGCCUGUGGCAGAACAGUCGCGUGCGGGAGGACGGCCUUUGGGUAUUAUACCGCUUUUGCCUGAGACGAAGCGUGAGUGACGGUAAUGGGUGAAGAAGCAACGGCUAACUACGUG